rnacentral:miRNA from 1 species
GGUCACAGCUUAAACAUUUCUAGG